AUUGAACGCUGGCGGCAGGCCUAACACAUGCAAGUCGAGCGGAGCGGCGGACGGGGGCGGACGGCCUAGGAAUCUGCCUGGUAGUGAGGGAUAACGUCAGGAAACGGACCCUAAUACCACAUCAUAUCAGAUGAGCCUGGGGUGGAUUGGCUGGUUGGUGGGGUAAGGGCAUACCAAGGCGACGAUCCGAAACUGGUCUGAGAGGAUGAUCAGUCACACUGGAACUGAGACACGGUCCAGACUCCUACGGGAGGCAGCAGUGGGGAAUAUUGGACAAUGGGCGAAAGCCUGAUCCAGCCAUGCCGCGUGUGUGAAGAAGGUCUUCGGAUUGUAAAGCACUUUAAGUUGGGAAGCGUUACCAACAGAAUAAGCACCGGCUAACUCCGUGCCAGCAGCCGCGGUAAUUC
rnacentral:rRNA from 1 species